AUUGGACGCUGGCGGCAUGCUUUACACAUGCAAGUCGAACGGUGACAGGUUAAGCUGACGAGUGGCGAACGGGUGAGUAAUGCAUCGGAACGUGCCCGGUCGUGGGGGAUAACGCAGCGAAAGCUGCGCUAAUACCGCAUACGAUCUAAGGAUGAAAGCGGGGGACCGUAAGGCCUCGCGCGACCGGAGCGGCCGAUGUCAGAUUGGGUAGGUGGUGGGGUAAAGGCUCACCAAGCCAAAGAUCUGUAGCUGGUCGGAGAGGACGACCAGCCACACUGCGACUGAUGCACGGCCCAGCCGCCUACGGGAGGCAGCAGUGGGGAAUUUUGGACAAUGGGCGAAAGCCUGAUCCAGCAAUGCCGGGUGCAGGAAGAAGGCCUUCGGGUUGUAAACUGCUUUUGUACGGAGCGAAAAGGUCUUCUCUAAUACAGGGGGCUCAUGACGGUACCGUAAGAAUAAGCACCGGCUAACUACGUGCCAGCCGCCGCCGUAA
rnacentral:rRNA from 1 species